GACGAACGCUGGCGGCGUGCUUAACACAUGCAAGUCGAACGGAAAGGCCCUGCUUUUGUGGGGUGCUCGAGUGGCGAACGGGUGAGUAACACGUGAGUAACCUGCCCUUGACUUUGGGAUAACUUCCGGAAACUGGGGCUAAUACCGGAUAGGAGCUCCUGCUGCAUGGUGGGGGUUGGAAAGUUUCGGCGGUUGGGGAUGGACUCGCGGCUUAUCAGCUUGUUGGUGGGGUAGUGGCUUACCAAGGCUUUGACGGGUAGCCGGCCUGAGAGGGUGACCGGCCACAUUGGGACUUGAGAUACGGCCCAGACUCCUACGGGAGGCAGCAGUGGGGAAUAUUGCACAAUGGGCGGAAGCCUGAUGCAGCAACGCCGCGUGCGGGAUGACGGCCUUCGGGUUGUAAACCGCUUUCGCCUGUGACGAAGCGUGAGUGACGGUAAUGGGUAAAGAAGCACCGGCUAACUACGUG
rnacentral:rRNA from 1 species